rnacentral:rRNA from 1 species
CCUUAGUACGGCGAGUGAGCGGUAAAAGCUCAAAUUUGAAAUCUGGUACUUUCAGUGCCCGAGUUGUAAUUUGUAGAAUUUGUCUUUGAUUAGGUCCUUGUCUAUGUUCCUUGGAACAGGACGUCAUAGAGGGUGAGAAUCCCGUUUGGCGAGGAUACCUUUUCUCUGUAAGACUUUUUCGAAGAGUCGAGUUGUUUGGGAAUGCAGCUCAAAGUGGGUGGUAAAUUCCAUCUAAAGCUAAAUAUUGGCGAGAGACCGAUAGCGAACAAGUACAGUGAUGGAAAGAUGAAAAGAACUUUGAAAAGAGAGUGAAAAAGUACGUGAAAUUGUUGAAAGGGAAGGGCAUUUGAUCAGACAUGGUGUUUUUUGCAUGCACUCGCCUCUCGUGGGCUUGGGCCUCUCAAAAAUUUCACUGGGCCAACAUCAAUUCUGGCAGCAGGAUAAAUCAUUAAGAAUGUAGCUACUUCGGUAGUGUUAUAGCUUUUUGGAAUACUGUUAGCCGGGAUUGAGGACUGCGCUUCGGCAAGGAUGUUGGCAUAAUGGUUAAAUGCCGCCCGUCUUGA